UACAGAGGGGGCAAGCGUUAUUCGGAAUUAUUGGGCGUAAAGGGCGCGUAGGCGGCUUGGCAAGUGGAAGGUGAAAUCCCUCGGCUUAACCGAGGAACUGCCCUCCAAACUGCUUGGCCUUGAGACCGGGAGAGGUGAGUGGAAUUCCCAGUGUAGCGGUGAAAUGCGUAGAUAUUGGGAGGAACACCAGUGGCGAAGGCGGCUCACUGGACCGGUACUGACGCUGAUGCGCGAAAGCGUGGGGAGCAACGGG
rnacentral:rRNA from 1 species